rnacentral:rRNA from 1 species
GAUGAACGCUAGCGGCAGGCCUAACACAUGCAAGUCGAGGGGGAAGUUACUUUCGGGUGACUGAGACCGGCGUACGGGUGCGUAACGCGUAUACAAUCUGCCUUUCACUGGGGGAUAGCCCGAAGAAAUUUGGAUUAAUACCCCAUAGUAUAUAGGGACGGCAUCGUUUUUAUAUUAAAGCUUAGGUGGUGAAAGAUGAGUAUGCGUUCUAUUAGCUAGUUGGAGAGGUAACGGCUCCCCAAGGCGAUGAUAGAUAGGGGUUCUGAGAGGGAUGUCCCCCACACUGGUACUGAGAUACGGACCAGACUCCUACGGGAGGCAGCAGUGAGGAAGAUUGGACAAUGGUCGGAAGACUGAUCCAGCCAUGCCGCGUGCAGGAUGAAGGUCUUAUGGAUUGUAAACUGCUUUUGUAAGGGAAGAAUAAGGGCUACGCGUAGUUUGAUGACGGUACCUUACGAAUAAGCAUCGGCUAACUCCGUG